UUACCUGAUCGCCCGCCAGGCGGACAUCUCGGCGCAGGACAAGCUCGGCCGCACG
rnacentral:ribozyme from 1 species